CGCGGCCGCCGUGGGCUGCAGCGGCGCCUGCCGGGCUGGUGCUUCUGGGCUCCUGCAGGCUGCGACCCGCCGGCAAGUUCCCGGUUCGGCCCGCUGUCCUCUCGCCUACAGGAGUUAUCUUUCCCGGCAGGUCAAAAAGCCCCUUCAAGCUGCUUCAUUUGUUCAGCAAAAUACACUCCUAUUAUGUGCUGGGAACUCUUAUGUGCUGGAUUUACAAAGAUGAACAAGCCAGUCACAGAGAGAGAGAGAGGCAGAGACUCAGGCAGAGGGAGAAGCAGGCUCCAUGCACCGGAAGCCCGAUGUGAGAUUCGAUCCCGGGUCUCCAGGAUCGCGCCCUGGGCCAAAGGCAGGCGCUAAACCGCUGCGCCACCCAGGCAUCCCCCUCUUUACAAAUACUUGUUGAUUGGCUUUCUUACUCCACUCAUUAACAUUGGCUCAUUAGGCUUUUUCCCAGAGCACUGCCAGCAAAUGUGUGAGCUGUUGUUCUAUUUCAGACAUCAGCAGCUCUGCUUCACUUGGAAAGACUCUUAUUCAGCUUUAAAAUAUUAUUGACAAUAUUUUUAGUUGCCCUGUUGAAUUAACCGCUAUAACGCUCACUGUAAUUUGUAAUACUUAUUAUGUGCUACACUAGGCUACUUGUGUGUAUAUAUUUAUAGUUAUGCGCAGUGGUACACAGUGGCUCACACUCAACAUAUGUGUCUGUCAGCAUAAAAUAUUUUAGAAAAUUCUAUGUAAUGGUCUUCUUAAAUCUCUAUCUAUAUUGAGGUACAAAUUUUAAUACAGUUAAAGUUUAUAGACUAGAAUAUAUUAGGUCCAAGUUAAAUUUAUGGCUGAAGACAAUUAGAGAGGCAUGUCACCCUGACACCACAUAUAUUUAUUUUAUGUCUGCCAGAAGGAGGUGAAGAGGCUCUAAAUCUUUUUUUAUGCCACGAAUUUCAUCGCCAGUCUGGAAAAGCCUCUGCAGCCCUUCUCUUCUCAGAAUAAUCUUUCUAAAUAAACUAUGUAGGGUUACAUUUUAAACAAUUUUAUUGAAACUCUUCUAGCCUUGAGUCCCAGCUUAAAGCCCUCUGAAGCUUUAUAAGUACUUAGAUUCCUCAGGCUGCUAUAACAAAAUAUCACAGUGGUUUAUUUUUAUUUUUGUAAUAUUUUAUUUAUUUUUAAAUAUUUUAUUUAUUCAUGAGAGACACACACAGAG